UGCUUGGGAAUAUGCCGAGUGGUGGGGGACAACAGUUGGAAACGACUGCUAAUACCGCAUAAUGUCUACGGACCAAAGGGGGGGGCUUCACUUUUAGGAGUGGACCUCCCGCCAUUUGAUUAGCCCAAGUGAGAUUAGCUAGUAGGUGAGGUAAUGGCUCACCUAGGCGACGAUCUCUAGCUGGUUUGAGAGGAUGAUCAGCCACACUGGGACUGAGACACGGACCAG
rnacentral:rRNA from 1 species